rnacentral:rRNA from 1 species
CUUUCCGUAGGGUUGGACCUGCGGAAGGAUCAUUA